GGAAGAGGAAGACUGGAGCGAAGAAGAGGAAGACGAGCAAGAGGAGGCAGUGGAGGAGGAGGAUGGUGAGGCCGAGCCUGAUCCCGAGGGUGAGGCAGAGGCAGAGGAGGACAAGGCAGAAGAGGUUGGUCCUGAUGAAGAAGCCAGAGAUGCUGAAGAUGGUCCAGUAGAGGACUCCAAACCCAAGCCCAGGCUCUUCAUGCCCAACUUGGUGCCACCCAAGAUCCCUGACGGAGAGAGAGUGGACUUUGAUGACAUCCACAGGAAGCGCAUGGAGAAGGACCUGAACGAGCUGCAGACUCUGAUCGAGGCUCACUUCGAGAACAGGAAGAAGGAGGAAGAGGAGCUCAUUUCUCUCAAAGACAGGAUCGAAAAGCGUCGGGCAGAGCGGGCUGAACAGCAGCGUAUUCGCAAUGAACGAGAGAAGGAAAGGCAGAACCGCCUGGCUGAAGAGAGGGCCCGGCGUGAGGAGGAGGAGAACAGGAGGAAGGCUGAAGAUGAGGCCCGGAAGAAGAAGGCUCUGUCCAACAUGAUGCAUUUUGGAGGGUACAUCCAGAAGACAGAGCGGAAGAGUGGGAAGAGACAGACAGAGCGAGAGAAGAAGAAGAAGAUUCUGGCAGAGAGGAGGAAGGUGCUGGCCAUCGACCACCUGAAUGAAGACCAGCUGAGAGAGAAGGCCAAGGAGCUAUGGCAGAGUAUCCACAACCUGGAGGCCGAGAAGUUCGACCUGCAGGAAAAGUUCAAGCAGCAGAAAUACGAAGUGAGCUGCUCACCGUGCCUGUCCUACCAUGAUCCUGGUUUGACUUAGUCCAUGCCACUGCUGACCCCCAGGCCUCUUUCCCUGUCCCCUGCCAGACCAUUCAAUUCAUGCGCUGGUCUCCAACGGUGUUCUAGCUCUCCCCUCCUCCCCGUUUGUACCCUUGCUUCUACACUGAACCCCCUUUCUCCUCCCAGGCCUCACCGAAUGAGCCCCAACCUUAUCAUUUAUCUUCUCUGCUUUUUUUUCUCUUUUUUUUUCCAGAUCAACGUUCUGCGAAACAGGAUCAACGACAACCAGAAAGUCUCCAAAACUCGUGGGAAGGCCAAAGUCACCGGGCGUUGGAAAUAGAUGGAACUGUGUUCGACAAAGCUCUGCUCCUUGCCUGUGCCCUUGCCCUGUGAAUCCCAGCUCUAGGUCUUGCCAGGCACCCGAUGCAGACUCCUGUCUGGAAAGUAGGAGCUGACCUAGCUAGAAGCCAGUACUCUGCCUGACCCCUAUGCCCACACCACGUCAGGAAUAAAAAGCCAGCACAUUGUGCACAUGGAA
rnacentral:lncRNA from 1 species